UCUUUGUUUUCUCUUAGCUUCUACAACUAUAUAAUCCCAAUUCUCUAAUUAAUGCCCUUGUUCUUACUUUUCUCUUCUGCAACUAUAUGUGUGUAUCAUUCUAAUUCUAAAGACGCCCUUGUUCUUGCUUUUCUGUCGAUCUCCGUAAAAUUAAUGGAAUUUAUUGAGUCCGAAAAAAUUAGAGUUUUUUCCAUGUGAAUUGAUUGAAAAUGUGGGGAUUUUUUUGGGCAUCUCAGACUGUACUAUAUGUUUUAAUUUUUCGGAAGUUUUGAGCUCUGCUUUCUGAAUUUUAAGGCCGACUUGCUUUGUUCAUGUUUAAUUGUGCUUGUGUAGUUGAAAUCGACUAUGUUCAGCAUCAACCAAAUAGAUACUUACUACAGAUGAUCUCGGUUUAUGGGGAUCUGAUGAUUUGAAUUUCUUGUGUAGUUGAAAUGGCAAAGAAGAAAACUUUGAAUUGCUUUAGUGCUUUGUGAAAAAGAAGGUAUGCGAUAACUGGUAACCACACUGUUACUUAAAAAGGAAUAUGAUUCUCCCAUUAUCUCAUGUAGAUGAACCAAGGGUUUUCGGAUAAGAAGAAUUUUAAGGUCGUCAUUGUUUCCUGCAACUAAUUGUUACAUUCAGCAGGAGGAAUCCUUGAAUCAAGAAAUAAAUUCAGUAUUUUAAAGGACCAUGAAAAAGUAUGUUGGCUUUCAAACUUAGAAUAGCAUUGCUACAACCUUGACAAGUCAAUUGAGGAAAUGCAUUCUGACUUGGGUCGUGUUCAUGGUGAAGAAGAUUCAAAGUAAAAAUUUCUGGAGAAACCUGUUCAAGAGGAAUAGCCCAGUACAGUUUAUCAAUCUUACCACUUGGGUGCUGGAUUACCAAUGUUGAUGCAUCUAUGGCUUGGCAAUUUCCAUAUUUCUCUAUUUCUCUCUCCUCCUGCUUCAGAGAGUUUCUAUCGACCAGAAACAAGGCAGGCUAUAUUUUUUUUCCAAGCUUGGAUUUGUGACUUAAAGUUCACAGAGUUGAUUCCCACUAGGAGUUUUUGGGGUUGGAUUUUUCUUUACUUCCCCACCCUCAAGCUUUAACCGGUUACGCAUCCCAAAUAAUCCUCGACAUACCAAAAUUCCACCAAGGUUACCUCUCCUCAAUUUGCAAAAGCUACUGAGCCCGAUUUGUAGAUGGUUAGUAUUUCAGUACCCUCCCCUUUCAACUUUUUGUAUUUUCGAAAGGUUUUUGAGUGUAUAGGAGGUGAUGGUAGGAUUCCACAUUGCUCAUUCUUUGUGUGAUAUCUUUGCAGCACUUUAGUAGUUAAUGGCCGCUUAUUGCUCAAGUUGAUUGCGCAUGUCUUCUUAUGUUUUUAAGUGUCUCUUGGUGUCCUAUACUGGAAGUCAUUAUAGUGCAAGUAACACGAAGCUUGGUUGAUCCAAAGUUUGAUCAUAUCAGAUUAUAGAACUGAAGUUGUCUACUUGUCUGUGGAAUAGGUUGUUUAGUAUGGAAAGGUAAGUGUGUGGAUUCUAUCAAGUUCCCACACGGAUAAGGAUUAAUGUAUUCGGAAAUGGUAAUCUUGCAGUUCCCUUCCCUAGAUCAUAAAUAUGUUGUAAAGGCCUUGAUUGAGAACUAGAUGAUUUUUGUACUAAUGGCCAAGAGCUUAUGUUAGAGUGCAGAGUGGGGCAGGAGAUUUGUAUUGAUUCAGUUGUUUAGAUUGGUUGUAAGAAAAUUAGUAAUCGAAUGUCUUUUUGAGAUUCAGUGCUGAUAAAAAAUUGCU